GCGCCCGUAGCUCAGCGGAUAGAGCGCUUGCCUCCGGAGCAAGAGGUCGGGGAUUCGAAUUCCUCCGGGCGUACCA
rnacentral:tRNA from 1 species